rnacentral:rRNA from 1 species
UGGGGAAUUUUGGACAAUGGGGGAAACCCUGAUCCAGCCAUCCCGCGUGUGCGAUGAAGGCCUUCGGGUUGUAAAGCACUUUUGGCAGGAAAGAAACGUCGCGGGUUAAUACCCCGCGGAACUGACGGUACCUGCAGAAUAAGCACCGGCUAACUACGUGCCAGCAGCCGCGGUAAUGCGUAGGGUGCAAGCGUUAAUCGGAAUUACUGGGCGUAAAGCGUGCGCAGGCGGUUCGGAAAGAAAGAUGUGAAAUCCCAGAGCUUAACUUUGGAACUGCAUUUUUAACUACCGGGCUAGAGUGUGUCAGAGGGAGGUGGAAUUCCGCGUGUAGCAGUGAAAUGCGUAGAUAUGCGGAGGAACACCGAUGGCGAAGGCAGCCUCCUGGGAUAACACUGACGCUCAUGCACGAAAGCGUGGGGAGCAAACAGGAUUAGAUACCCUGGUAGUCCACGCCCUAAACGAUGUCAACUAGCUGUUGGGGUCUUCGGACCUUGGUAGCGCAGCUAACGCGUGAAGUUGACCGCCUGGGGAGUACGGUCGCAAGAUUAAAACUUAAAUGAAUUGACGAGGUCAUAGCUGUUUCCU